rnacentral:rRNA from 1 species
GACGAACGCUGGCGGCGUGCUUAAUACAUGCAAGUCAACGACUUUUAGAGUAGCAAUAUUUUAAAGGAAGUGGCGCACGGUGAGUAACGCGUAGGUAAUCUGCCUUCAGGACUGACACAACUCGUCGAAAGACGGGCUAAUAUCAGAUAAUGCAGCGGCUCCGCAUGGAGACAGUUGUUAAAGUACAAGCGCCUGAAGAUGAGCCUGCGGUCCAUUAGCUAGUUGGUAGAGUAACAGCCUACCAAGGCAACGAUGGAUAGCUGGUCUGAGAGGAUGAUCAGCCACACUGGAACUGAGACACGGUCCAGACUCCUACGGGAGGCAGCAGUAAGGAAUAUUGCUCAAUGGCCGAAAGGCUGAAGCAGCAACGCCGCGUGAAGGAUGAAUGG